UACAGAGGGGGCAAGCGUUGUUCGGAAUUACUGGGCGUAAAGGGCGCGUAGGCGGCCCGUUAAGUCGAACGUGAAAUCCCCAGGCUCAACCUGGGAACUGCGUCCGAUACUGGCGGGCUUGAAUCCGGGAGAGGGAUGCGGAAUUCCAGGUGUAGCGGUGAAAUGCGUAGAUAUCUGGAGGAACACCGGUGGCGAAGGCGGCAUCCUGGACCGACACUGACGCUGAGGAGCGAAAGCCAGGGGAGCAAACGGG
rnacentral:rRNA from 1 species